CCUCUAAUUAGCCCAAUUAAACACCUGGUCAGUUGGCGUCAGUCAAAACAGUCGUUUGAAAAGUUUUAACUCUCGGAGACGUUUUUUUUUUGUUGUUUAUUUAUUUAUUUAUUAAAAACUAAACUACUGACCUACAUUAACGCACAUUGAGGUAUUACUCCAUGGUUGUUUUCCCUAUAAAUAAGAACCAGGAGAGCUGCGAACACACUGGUGACACAGAAGAUGAUGUGUUGGCCACGACAGUGGAACAGGAGUCGUCAUAGCAGACUCUGGAGAAAACAUAAUUGCUGUGUCAGCUCUCUGAUAUGAAGGACUUCCGGUUGAGCCAAUGUAUUGUUCUGUCUGCUGUAGCUCCCACCACUCUGGGUCACUGAACUGACAACGUUCUCCCACGUAGCCUGGCAAACAGCUGUAAAGAUACAAGUCACCAUCAUUUGGUUGUGUUCUCAAUAAUAUUAAAUUUAAAAUUAAAUAAAGUUCAAAA